AGUGAACGCUGGCGGUAGGCCUAACACAUGCAAGUCGAACGGCAGCACAGUAAGAGCUUGCUCUUACGGGUGGCGAGUGGCGGACGGGUGAGGAAUACAUCGGAAUCUACUUUUUCGUGGGUGAUAACGUAGGGAAACUUACGCUAAUACCGCAUACGACCUACGGGUGAAAGCAGGGGAUCUUCGGACCUUGCGCGAUUGAAUGAGCCGAUGUCGGAUUAGCUAGUUGGCGGGGUAAAGGCCCACCAAGGCGACGAUCCGUAGCUGGUCUGAGAGGAUGAUCAGCCACACUGGAACUGAGACACGGUCCAGACUCCUACGGGAGGCAGCAGUGGGGAAUAUUGGACAAUGGGCGCAAGCCUGAUCCAGCAAUACCGCGUGGGUGAAGAAGGCCUUCGGGUUGUAAAGCCCUUUUGUUGGGAAAGAAAAGCAGCAGGUUAAUACCCCGCUGUUCUGACGGUACCCAAAGAAUAAGCACCGGCUAACUUCGUG
rnacentral:rRNA from 1 species